GUGCGCUGCAUGUUGCGGGCGUUGUACUGUUUGUGAUCAGGUUGUCUCAAGGAAUGGUUCAUUUCCUUCUGCGACGAAGCUGGGUCCGCGGGAUUCAUCUGGCGUUCACUCUCUUCGGACUCCCGAGCACCGUUUGCACCUCCGGAGUAAGGUCUGCCAUCUCCUGCUCUUCUCCUCAUCCUUUCAGAACCGGUCAAACCACCCAACCAAUCCCUUCCAGUUGCUGCAACCUCUACAUGACCAGUGUCUGCACAAUGCCAUCCUCAGCAGUGCCCCAUGUAAAGUCCAGAUGCCCCCAGUAUCCAGGGUCCAACAUCAAGCGCUUUCCGGUGCCUGAUGACAAGGUGGACUGGAGUCAGAACUGGCGGCAGUACGAUCCAGCCAGCCACACCAACCCUUCAGUAGCAAAGAAGCCAGUAUGGGCUGAUCCCGAUAUUGACUCUUUCUCACCACAUUUCAACACCAUGGACGGUGCUGUGGACAGGACAAGCUUUGAGGGCAGCUACAAAGUGGAAGAGCAAAAGCCACUAAAUCCUCAUGGACGCACAGGGUUGAGCGGUAGAGGUCUGCUGGGACGAUGGGGACCCAAUCACGCAGCGGAUCCCAUUGUCACCAGAUGGAAAGUAGAUGCCGAAGGAGCGAAGAUACAUCACCCAGUCUCCAAACGGCCUAUCCUGCAGUUUGUGUCCAUCAAGAGGAAAGACUGUGGGGAGUGGGCCAUUCCUGGGGGGAUGGUAGAUCCAGGGGAGCAGGUUUCUCUCACGCUGCAGCGGGAGUUCUCGGAAGAAGCGCUGAACUCGCUGUCAGUGUCGCCAUCCGAGAGAGCAAAAAUCCAUGAGCGCAUCACCAGACUGUUCAAAUCACCGGGGUUUCAGGUCUAUAAAGGCUAUGUGGAUGAUCCUAGAAACACUGACAAUGCUUGGAUAGAGACAGUUGCAGUCAACUUCCACGAUGACUCAGGCAACAGUGUGAGUGAGCUGCCAUUGCAAGCUGGCGAUGACGCAGGACAAGUCCAGUGGGUUGAUGUUGACUCGUCUUUGGCCCUCUAUGCGAAUCAUUCCCAUUUCCUGGAGCUGGUUGCCAGAGAGAGGAAAGCCCACUGGUGACUAAGGAUGAAAGACUCUGUUCUGACAUAAUAUUAAGGAAUAUGAAGAUGUGCUGGAGCUCCUUUGUGCCCAGCAGCGCACCGAGGCUGAGCGUAGACAGGCUGAAGGCUGGAGGACAAACAUGGUUUCGAUGGGUAAGAGACGUCGGAAGCAAAGGCCAUCUCACAUUCGACAGCCUGCCUUUCCAAACCUACACAUCAGUAUGUGUCAUCUCACUGGUGGGCAUGGAUUGCAACGAGGCAGGGACUGGGAAUUACGCACUAAAUGUGUUAGGCUUACUGAAACAAACACAUCUGUCAUCAAAAGGCAGUCAACAACAAAUAACCGAGCUCAAAUUAGUUUCAGUGAUGAGAGAUUGCUGCAUAAUCUUAUGUUUCUUACCUGGCAGUAAAACAUGUUUGUCUUGAAGCUGAAUUAAUAGAUUUCAUAAGAUGUGAUAUAAUUGUUCUGUAUGCUGUAAAACUAGUGAGCUAGCUCUGCUGAUUGGGUUGUCUGUAUACGCUGUCAUGUGAAAAUGACCCCACAGGUGUGUACUCACAGACUUGCCCUAAAUUUUUGUCUUACGCUAAAGUGUUUGAUGCUGUGUGUUUUGUUCAUUUGAUCCACUUUAAAUAGCAAAUGAUCAUGAAUUCUUGAGGUGAUUUGGACAUUUUUUCCUCAAAAAAUUUCAGUGUGUCUUGAAACAGAUCAUUAUACAUCAUAUACUAUAUUUAUUGUCUUACAGUGUGGGUAACAUUAGCUGUCUUGUCUAAUGUAUCAAGGUAGUAUCAGAGGCACACCUUAAGACCUCAUACACUAUGACGUUCUACAAAACCAAUAAAAAUGCAAUUAUUAGUUUAUUAGAUAUUGCUGUUUUUCAUUUUUAAUACAUUUGCAACAUUUCUAAUAUUCUAUUUUCACUUUGUCCUUAUGCUGUUUCGAGUGUAGAUUGAUGAGGGGUAAAAUGAAUUUUAGCAUAUGGCUGCAACAUAAAAUGUGAAAAAAAAGUGAGGGGGUCUGAAUAGUUUCUGAGUGCAGUUUACAUAAAUGUCUGAUGUGUAGAUUUUUAACAAGUUCCGUUGUAAAAAGAAGAAGACGGACAAAUAUCUUUAUUUGGACUAAACAGCAUCACAGACAUUGAGUUGCGAUGUUGUGUGCUGUGUGCAAAGUGACUGCUAUGUUCACCCACACGAUGCUUCUAUUUGUUAUUGUAUAAUGGAUGGUCUGAUCUGUAAUGGUUUUCUAAACUGAGUAUAUUGUUUUUCUGAGUGGCCUUGAACCAGACAGUCUCUUCACUUAGACAGCAGCAAGCUAUACUGCACUCCACUGCUACUGCGGUUAUAUAUUCCAUAAUGUAAGGACAGCUCAGCCACACAGGCAAAGAGGUGCAGAAGAGUCUUUUAAAGUUGAGGACAUUUACGUUAUACACUGUAAUUUCAGAUCUAAAAUCAUUUUUAGAAAGUUUUAAAAUUGGAAAAUGUGUUGCUCACCAGACAGGUUCAGAGGUCAAAUACGAAAGGAAGAUGUCAAGGUAUAAUGAGUUGUAAAUGGUUGUGUUUUCAGACCGGGCUCAGUGGUACAGGCCCAGCCUAACGUUAACAUGGAUCCGGUUUCCAGGCACAGCCCUUUCUGUGUGUAGUUGUUAAUGUCAGGGUGUGUAGCUGCUUACAAAUUUACUGCGGACAUAACUGCGCAUUAGCUGACAGACUGGAUGAAAGUGAAAAAAAAAAAAAAGAUUGCUACCUCUCCACAUCAUUUGGUUGAUCGCAGUGGCCGGGUCUGUUGGUGUGAAGUUGCUGCCGCCCAGGAAAAAGAUCACUGUGAUGCUGAUGGGCAACCACUCGGCUGGGAAAAGUUCCUUCAUCAAUUGGU